rnacentral:rRNA from 1 species
CCUACGGGAGGCAGCAGUGGGGAAUUUUUGUCAAUGGGGGAAACCCUGAACAAGCAACGCCGCGUGGAGGAUGAAGGUCUUCGGGUCGUAAACUCCUGUCGGAGGGGACGAAAGCGGUUGGGGUUAAUACCCUCAGUCGUUGACGGUACCCUAUGAGGAAGCCCCGGCUAACUCCGUGCCAGCAGCCGCGGUAAUACGGGGGGGGCAAGCGUUGUUCGGAAUUACUGGGCGUAAAGGGCGCGUAGGCGGCUCGGCCAGUCCCUUGUGAAAUCCCACAGCUCAACUGUGGAACUGCAGGGGAUACUGCCAGGCUUGAGUCCGGGAGAGGAGAGCGGAAUUCCCAGUGUAGCGGUGAAAUGCGUAGAUAUUGGGAGGAACACCGGUGGCGAAGGCGGCUCUCUGGACCGGUACUGACGCUGAGGCGCGAAAGCUAGGGGAGCAAACGGGAUUAGAUACCCCGGUAGUCCUAGCUGUAAACGUUGAGCACUUGGUGUGGCGGGUAUCGACCCCUGCCGUGCCGAAGCUAACGCAUUAAGUGCUCCGCCUGGGGAGUACGG